rnacentral:rRNA from 1 species
CACGCCGUAAACGAUGAUCACUGGAUGCCGGCGAUACACCGUCGGUGUCUGAGCGAAAGCAUUAAGUGAUCCACCUGGGGAGUACGAUCGCAAGGUUGAAACUCAAAGGAAUUGACGGGGGCCCGCACAAGCGGAGGAACAUGUGGUUUAAUUCGAUGAUACGCGAGGAACCUUACCUGGGCUAGAACGCCGAGCGCAUAUGGGGGAAACCCCAUAGCCAGCAAUGGCGGUCGGCGAGGUGC